UACGUAGGGGGCUAGCGUUGUCCGGAAUCAUUGGGCGUAAAGCGCGUGUAGGCGGCUCGGUAAGUCCGCUGUGAAAGUCGGGGGCUCAACCCUCGGAUGCCGGUGGAUACUGUCGGGCCAGAGUACGGAAGAGGCGAGUGGAAUUCCUGGUGUAGCGGUGAAAUGCGCAGAUAUCAGGAGGAACACCAAUUGCGAAGGCAGCUCGCUGGGACGUUACUGACGCUGAGACGCGAAAGCGUGGGGAGCAAACAGG
rnacentral:rRNA from 1 species